rnacentral:rRNA from 1 species
CCUACGGGUGGCAGCAGUGGGGAAUAUUGGGCAAUGGAGGCAACUCUGACCCAGCAACGCCGCGUGAAUGAUGAAGGUCUUCGGAUUGUAAAGUUCUGUGAUGGGGGAUGAACACAAUGACGGUACCCCAAUAGCAAGCCACGGCUAACUACGUGCCAGCAGCCGCGGUAAUACGUAGGUGGCAAGCGUUAUCCGGAAUGACUGGGCGUAAAGGGUGCGUAGGUGGUUUAGUAAGUUGGCGGUGUAAUUCCGGGGGACAACCUCGGCGCUACCGCCAAAACUAGGAGACUAGAGUGCAGGAGGGGUAAGUGGAAUUCCGGGGGUAGCGGUGGAAUGCGUAGAGAUUAGGAGGAACACCAGGGGCGAAGGCGACUUACUGGACUGUAACUGACGUUGAGGCACGAAAGCGUGGGGAGCAAACAGGAUUAGAGAC